rnacentral:rRNA from 1 species
UACGAAAGGUGCAAGCGUUAAUCGGAAUUACUGGGCGUAAAGCGCGCGUAGGCGGCUUGGUAAGUUGGAUGUGAAAGCCCCGGGCUCAACCUGGGAACUGCAUCCAAAACUGCCAGGCUAGAGUAUGGUAGAGGAUGGCGGAAUUUCCUGUGUAGCGGUGAAAUGCGUAGAUAUAGGAAGGAACAUCAGUGGCGAAGGCGGCCAUCUGGACCAAUACUGACGCUGAGGUGCGAAAGCGUGGGGAGCAAACAGG